UACGUAGGGUGCGAGCGUUGUCCGGAAUUACUGGGCGUAAAGAGCUCGUAGGUGGUUUGUCGCGUUGUUCGUGAAAUCUCACGGCUUAACUGUGAGCGUGCGGGCGAUACGGGCAGACUAGAGUACUGCAGGGGAGACUGGAAUUCCUGGUGUAGCGGUGGAAUGCGCAGAUAUCGGGAGGAACACCAGCGGCGAAGGCGGCACUCUGGGCUGGAACUGACGCUGAGGAGCGAAAGCGUGGGUAGCAAACAGG
rnacentral:rRNA from 1 species